AUUUUAUAUUUUCACAGGAAACCACAGCAUCAAGCCAUAGUUUGCAGAAUCACUACUGAACCUCAAAAGGUAAAAGCGUAUCUGGAAGAAGAAAUAAUUACUAAUUUUAUACAUCUAUGGACAUGGCCCAAAUAUUUGAAGGAAAUAUUUAAUUAAACAGAAUACAAUUUGGCAAGAUACAGACCCUGAUAUUUGUCCUGUCACAAAGAUG